AGGACGAACGCUGGCGGCGUGCCUAACACAUGCAAGUCGAACGGGACCAGGGGCAACUCUGGUUCAGUGGCGGACGGGUGCGUAACACGUGAGGAACAUGACCUUCGGCGGGGGAUAGCCGGCCCAACGGCCGGGUAAUACCGGCGUACGACCACAUGGGGACAUCCCUGAGUGGUGAAAGCAGCAAUGCGCCGAUGGAGUGCCUCGCGGCCUAUCAGCUAGUUGGUGAGGUAACGGCUCACCAAGGCAACGACGGGUA
rnacentral:rRNA from 1 species